ACUUGCCUGCAUCAUGUGUGACUGAGUAUUGGUGUAAAAUCACCCGCCAGCAGAUUAUACCUGCUGGUUUUUU
rnacentral:misc_RNA from 1 species